rnacentral:lncRNA from 1 species
AUGCCUCUGAAAAUGAAGAUCCGGUGGUAUUGUGGAAAUUCCCAGAGGACUUUGGAGACCAGGAGGUACUACAGAGUGUGCCAAAGUUCUGUUUCCCCUUUGACGUUGAAAGGUACAGUAUAUAAGUCAUCAUUUAGAUAAUAACUUUAGCCCAUCUAAGUGAGCACCUUAAAAUUAUUACGUGUUUUUUUUAAUAAAAUGAAAUGUACUUCACUGCUUCCA